ensembl:lncRNA
UUAGAUUUCCAACAAUUGGGGAGCUCCUCGGGGAUCCACAUCACCUGGAGAGGUCGAAUGAACUACCCACACCUACCAGUAGCUAAGAAGUACCUCUUCUGGGGAUAUUUCUCCCACGAGGGAAAGGGAAAUGGCUGGAGACAGAAUUGAAGCUACUGGAAAAGAGUGCAAGAAACCUCUGAAGAAAGAAGGGUGGGGGGGAGCGAGUGGGGAUGGUGAUGAGCCUCCAGUCAAGUGCACACAAUCAGAGAAGAUGUGUGCAUGCUAACUCGCUUCAGUCGUGUCUGAUUUUGCAACCUAUGGACUGUAGCCCACCAGUGUUCUUGCCUGGAGAAUCCCAGGGACAGGGGAGCCUGGUGGGGUUUGCCUCAUCCUUAUAACCCAGGAGGCCUACAGCCUGAACUGCCCAGGAACAGCCUGAACUGCCUCAGAUAGAAGAGGAAACAAGAACAGAAGAGAGGGAAACCGAGAUGGCCACCAUGGCCUCAGCACCAUCUCCAGCACUGUUCCCCUCCCUUCCUCCAUUGAGGAAGGAGAUAAAACAAUGUAAAAUGGACAUUCAAAUUUUACCCUUCCCCCCAAAAAGAGAGAAACCUCAGGCCCUCUACUUCCUCCGAGAAGUUCCCCUAGGAGGAAAGGGAACUGGAUUUGUGGACAUCCCCCUUACCAGCUCCAAGUUUCAAGAACUGAAGAAAGAACUGAAGCCCCUAUUAGAGGAUCCACCUGGGGUUGCAGACCAGCUAGAUCAACUUCUAGGCCCCCAAAUUUUCACAUGGGCCGAGCUUAUGUCUAUCUUAGGUGUUGUGUUUUCUGGCAGUGAUGGCCGCCCGAUUGGAAAAGGGAAUACCCAGCUGGCUCAAAUGCCUUAGUAGCUGAAGUGAAAUUCCCUAACCAAGAAGCCACAAUGAGAUAAUAACAAUCCUAAACAUAGGGGUAAUAUGAGAGAUCUCAGGGACCUAAUUAUAAAAGGGAUCAGAGAGUCAGUUCCCCAAUCCCAAAAUAUUACUAAGGCCUUUGACAUCCAGCAAGGAAAAGAUGAAGGGCUGGUUGAAUUUCUGAGUAGGUUAAAAAAGACCAAAUAAGAAAAUACUCUGGAUUGAAUUUAGAUGAUCCUCUUGGCCAAAAUAUGUUAAAAUUCCAUUUUGUAACUAAUAUUUGGCCAGAUAUUUCUAAGAAAUUACAGAAAUUAGACAAUUGGAAAUAUAGAAGUUUAGAAAAAUUAAGAGAAGCCAGAAGGUAUAUGUAGGUAGGGAUGAAGAAAAAUAAAUAAAUAAUUAAUGUUAGAAACCAAAUUUCCUUGGACCAAGUGCCUCCCAAUUACUCUUCUCAGA